AUUGAACGCUGGCGGCAUGCUUUACACAUGCAAGUCGGACGGCAUCGCGGGGAGGGUAACCUUUCUGGCGGCGAGUGGCGAACGGGUGAGUAAUGUAUCGGAACGUACCCUGAAGUGGGGGAUAACGCCGCGAAAGCGGGGCUAAUACCGCAUGGUAUCUGAGGAUGAAGGUGGGGGACCUGAGAGGGCCUCACGCUUUGGGAUCGGCCGAUAUCUGAUUAGCUGGUUGGUGAGGUAAAGGCUCACCAAGGCGAUGAUCAGUAGCUGGUCUGAGAGGACGACCAGCCACACUGGAACUGAGACACGGUCCAGACUCCUACGGGAGGCAGCAGUGGGGAAUUUUGGACAAUGGGGGGAACCCUGAUCCAGCAAUGCCGCGUGAGUGAAGAAGGCCUUCGGGUUGUAAAGCUCUUUUGUCCGGGAAGAAAGGGCUUCUCCUAAUACGGGGAGUUGAUGACGGUACCGGAAGAAUAAGCACCGGCUAACUACGUGCCAGCAGCCGCAGUAACAC
rnacentral:rRNA from 1 species